rnacentral:rRNA from 1 species
UAACACCGGCACCCCGAGUGGUAGCCACUAUUAUUGGGCCUAAAGCGUUCGUAGCCGGUUUAGUAAAUUCUUGGGUAAAUCGUACAGCUUAACUGUGCGGAUUCCGGGGACACUACUAGACUUGAGACCGGGAGAGAUUAGAGGUACUUGCAGGGGAGCGGUGAAAUGUUGUAAUCCUGCAGGGACCACCAGUGGCGAAGGCGUCUAAUCAUAACGGCUCUGACGGUGAGGAACGAAACCCUGGGGCGCAAACGGGAUUAGAUACCCCGGUAGUCCAGGGCGUAAACGCUGCUGACUUGGUGUUGGAGAUCCUACGAGGGUGUCCAGUGCUGGCGCGAAGGUAUUAAGUCAGCCGCCUGGGGAGUACGGUCGCAAGACUG